CUCCAACAACUCAUCUCCAGGAAACACUUCAUUGACUGGUCCACCUGGAAACAAGUAGUAGACUUAAUAGUUAUGGAGGAACUUGGAAUGAGACUCUGCUGAAAGGUGCAGGAGGGAUGCCAAUAGCAAGAAGGUGUGAGUGAGGGGUUUGUCUCCUGAGCUGGAUCCCACCCCUCCUUCCAGACUGAAGCCAAGAUCAGAGCUGGACUUGUUCAGAAUCACACGGACUCUGCUGCCUGUAGGGGGCAUACACACACAAAGUAUCAGCAUCAGAUUGCACAGGAGACUCUAUCUCACCUGUAUAGAGGUGGACUCCUUUCUGCUGUUAACGCUCUGAAGAACAACCACCGCCAUGCCCUGCCCCCUCGCUUUUCUCAAUGUACGCAGAGCCUCCCAGUGGGCGGAAUUCUGCAGGGCAGUGCCAUUGAUCGACAGCACCUGAGCACCC